rnacentral:lncRNA from 1 species
UAUGAUAAAACCCCAAAAUGGAUAUUCUGCUUUCAAUGUUGCUAAAUUAAUAGGAAGAUUUCAAAGGUUGAGACCUAAAGGAAAAGGGAGAAUAGAUCAGAUAAGAUGGAGGAGGACAAUAAAGGCUGAAGGUAUAUGUCAGAUUGUGAAGAAAAAGUGGAAAAAAAGAAGCAUGUGUAUCGGAGAUACUGAACAGAGAAUAGAGUGGGUGGAGUAAGCCUGAGACUUUCUUCAAAAGAAGCAAUUUUACAUGGUGUGUAAAACC